rnacentral:rRNA from 1 species
GUAGGGAAUAUUGCGCAAUGGACGAAAGUCUGACGCAGCGACGCCGCGUGAGUGAUGAAGGCCUUAGGGUCGUAAAGCUCUGUUGAAUGGGAAGAAAAAAAUGACGGUACCAUUCGAGGAAGGACCGGCUAACUUCGUGCCAGCAGCCGCGGUAAUACGAGGGGUCCUAGCGUUGUUCGGAAUCAUUGGGCGUAAAGGGUGUGUAGGUGGCCAUGUAAGUCAGGUGUGAAAGCCUCGGGCUCAACCCGGGAAGUGCACUUGAUACUGCGUGGCUUGAGUACCGAAGAGGGUAGUGGAAUUCCAGGUGUAGUGGUGAAAUACGUAGAUAUCUGGAGGAACACCGGUGGCGAAGGCGGCUACCUGGUCGAGUACUGACACUGAGACACGAAAGCAUGGGGAUCAAACAGGAUUAGAAACCCCGGUAGUCC